UACGAAGGGGGCUAGCGUUGUUCGGAAUUACUGGGCGUAAAGCGCACGUAGGCGGGUUGUUAAGUCAGGGGUGAAAUCCCGGAGCUCAACUCCGGAACUGCCUUUGAUACUGGCAACCUAGAGACUGGAAGAGGUUAGUGGAAUUCCCAGUGUAGAGGUGAAAUUCGUAGAUAUUGGGAAGAACACCAGUGGCGAAGGCGGCUAACUGGUCCAGUACUGACGCUGAGGUGAGAAAGCGUGGGGAGCAAACAGG
rnacentral:rRNA from 1 species